ensembl:processed_transcript
CAUUAUUCCUGACGCUCCACUCAAUAAUGAAGACAGAGCAGAAAUGGAGGAGAUCCAGAAGAUCUUCAGCUCCAGAAUCAACAAACACAUCAUGAUCCUCAUCAUGCAGAACUCAGAGCAUCAGACAGCAGAACUCAAUGAAGAAACACAGGCUGUCAUUCAGAGUUUUGGAGGAAGACAUCAUUACUUCAGUCCUGAAACACAAGUGUCCACAUUGAUGGAGAACAUUGAGCAGAUGCUGGAGGAAAACAGAGGAGGUGUUUACUCCACAGAGACAUUCCUGGAGGCGCAGAUGAGUAAAUUAGUGAAAUAUGAGAAGAUGAAGAAGAAAAUAAACUCACUGGAGACACAUGUACUAUCACAAGGUUCAAGAGUAAACACAGAGGAUGAAGUGAGGAUUGUUCUUCUGGGCAAAACUGGAGUUGGGAAAAGUGCGACUGGAAACACAAUCAUAGGAAGAGCCAAAUUUACAGCAGAAACAUCUCACCAAUCAGUGACUAAAGAGAGUCAGAGAGAGACAUGUGAAAUCAAUGGCAGACAGGUCACUGUGAUCGACACUCCAGGAGUGUUUGAUACUGAACUCACUGAAGAGGAGAUCCAGAGAGAAAUCAGACACUGCAUCUCCAUGAUUCUGCCUGGACCACACGUGUUCAUCAUCGUGCUCAGUUUAGGACAGAGAU